rnacentral:rRNA from 1 species
AGUCGGGUCCUAAGUCGAGUCCGAAAGGGGUAGACGAUGGCAAAUUGGUUAAUAUUCCAAUACCAACAUUAGUGUGCGAUGGAAGGACGCUUAGGGCUAAGGGGGCUAGCGGAUGGAAGUGCUAGUCUAAGGUCGUAGGAGGUUGUACAGGCAAAUCCGUAUAACAAUACUCCGAGAACUGAAAGGCUUUUUGAAGUCUUCGGAUGGAUAGAAGAACCCCUGAUGCCGUCGAGCCAAGAAAAGUUUCUAAGUUUAGCUAAUGUUGCCCGUACCGUAAACCGACACAGGUGGGUGGGAUGAGUAUUCUAAGGCGCGUGGAAGAACUCUCUUUAAGGAACUCUGCAAAAUAGCACCGUAUCUUCGGUAUAAGGUGUGGUUAGCUUUGUAUUAGGAUUUACUCCGAAAGCAAGGAAACUUACAACAAAGAGUCCCUCCCGACUGUUUACCAAAAACACAGCACUCUGCUAACUCGUAAGAGGAUGUAUAGGGUGUGACGCCUGCCCGGUGCUCGAAGGUUAAUUGAUGGGGUUAGCAUUAGCGAAGCUCUUGAUCGAAGCCCGAGUAAACGGCGGCCGUAACUAUAACGGUCCUAAGGUAGCGAAAUUCCUUGUCGGUUAAAUACCGACCUGCAUGAAUGGCGUAACGAGAUGGGAGCUGUCUCAAAGAGGGAUCCAGUGAAAUUGUAGUGGAGGUGAAAAUUCCUCCUACCCGCGGCAAGACGGAAAGACCCCGUGGACCUUUACUACAGCUUGACACUGCUACUUGGAUAAGAAUGUGCAGGAUAGGUGGGAGGCUUUGAGUAUAUGACGCCAGUUGUAUAUGAGCCAUUGUUGAGAUACCACUCUUUCUUAUUUGGGUAGCUAACCAGCUUGAGUUAUCCUCAAGUGGGACAAUGUCUGGUGGGUAGUUUGACUGGGGCGGUCGCCUCCCAAAUAAUAACGGAGGCUUACAAAGGUUGGCUCAGAACGGUUGGAAAUCGUUCGUAGAGUAUAAAGGUAUAAGCCAGCUUAACUGCAAGACAUACAAGUCAAGCAGAGACGAAAGUCGGUCUUAGUGAUCCGGUGGUUCUGUGUGGAAGGGCCAUCGCUCAAAGGAUAAAAGGUACCCCGGGGAUAACAGGCUGAUCUCCCCCAAGAGCUCACAUCGACGGGGAGGUUUGGCACCUCGAUGUCGGCUCAUCGCAUCCUGGGGCUGGAGCAGGUCCCAAGGGUAUGGCUGUUCGCCAUUUAAAGCGGUACGCGAGCUGGGUUCAGAACGUCGUGAGACAGUUCGGUCCCUAUCUGCCGUGGGCGUAAGAAGAUUGAAGAGAUUUGACCCUAGUACGAGAGGACCGGGUUGAACAAACCACUGGUGUAGCUGUUGUUCUGCCAAGAGCAUCGCAGCGUAGCUAAGUUUGGAAAGGAUAAACGCUGAAAGCAUCUAAGCGUGAAGCCAACUCUAAGAUGAAUCUUCUCUAAGCUCUCUAGAAGACUACUAGUUUGAUAGGCUGGGUGUGUAAUGGAUGAAAGUCCUUUAGCUGACCAGUACUAAUAGAGCGUUUGGCUUAUCUUU